rnacentral:rRNA from 1 species
AUUGAACGCUGGCGGCAGGCCUAACACAUGCAAGUCGAGCGGAGCGGCGGACGGGUGCGUAAUGCCUAGGAAUCUGCCUGGUAGUGGGGGAUAACGUCCGGAAACGGGCGCUAAUACCGCAUACUCUCAGAUGAGCCUAGGUCGGAUGAGCUAGUUGGUGGGGUACAGGCCUACCAAGGCGACGAUCGGUAACUGGUCUGAGAGGAUGAUCAGUCAGACUGGGACUGAGACACGGUCAAGACUCCUACGGGGGGCAGCAGGGGGGAAUAUUGGCCAAUGGGCGAAAGCCUGAUCCAGCCACGGCGCGGGUGUGAGGAAGGUCUUCGGAGUGGAAAGCACUUUAAGUGGGGAGGCGGGACCAACAGAAUAAGCACCGGCUAACUGCGUGCCAGCAGCCGCGGUAAUAC